rnacentral:lncRNA from 1 species
GGAGCAAGUAGGGUUAUAUGAUCCUCUCUUCUCAUUCAAUGGGAUACUCUUUAUGGUGUGUAGGGGUGCCACUGUGAGAUCCCAUGAAGAAGAAAAUAAAAGGAGAAAAACUUACUUUCUUACAAAAUCCUAGAUCUUGAAACUCUAGAUGUUGUUAUAUGUGAAGCAAGUUGCAAAAAAUCUAGUUACAUCUAAUCUUG